CCGUCGCACUAGGGGCCACUUGUACAAUUCUGAAGUUAACUGCAGUUCAUGUGAACUCCGUUCAUCUUUGAUCCUAGUUCAACUCACCGUUGUGUUGUACCAUUCUUCCGUUUGGUGAUCUACGUUUAGGUACGCAUGACUGCGUGAUGGAAUACGUGACUAGUGUUUCCGUGAGCUAUUUCUGUGGUUUUGAUGAUUGUAUUCGAGUUGCAACUUGAAUUCGUAAAGUAAACAGUCGAUGGUUGCCGGUUGCAGCAUAUUUUAUUAUUUUUAAUUGAAACCUUGGCGUUUUAUUAAUUUUCGUCGUGUUAAAAACUGUGAAUUUUUUUGAAAAAUGGAGAAUAUUAAAGGGAAAAUGAAAAGAGCUACAAAUUUCUCAACUGCAGAGGAGAACACCUUGAUUCGAGUACUGAAAAGGUACAAACCGAUUAUUGAAAAUAAAAGUACCGGAUCAAAUAAUAAUAAUUUAAAAAAAGCAACCUGGAAGAAAAUUGAGGCUGAAUUCAAUCAGCUGGCGUUGGGAGAAUUUCGCGAUGUUUCCACUUUGAAAAACAAGUACGAAAACAUUAAAAAACGAGCAAAACAGAAAUAUGCGGAGGAAAAACGUCACGUAGCUGGAACCGGAGGAGGACCGCCGUUGGCUGUAAAAUUCACAGAAACUGAGCACGACAUAGCCGAAAUGUUAGGUCCCAGAAUGACUGGAGAGGAUUCACAUUUUGAUUGUGAUAAUGAACAAACGUCAGCGUUUCAUCCUGUAAUUUUAGACUCGUAUAUUCAAGAAACGGAAAUUGAUUAUAACAACAAUCAUGCUAACGGAUAUGCUGAGCAAGUAAUUGAUGACGUUGAGGAAGUAGAAGUACAUACUCAGAAUACAGAUAACGUAGGCACAGGAUCCGAUGAUGCCGAAUUCGAAGCUAUUAGGGCUCGGCAAUUACUCUUAAGAAAUGAACAACUGAGGUCCAAAAAUGUAACAGCACCGAAUACAGCAAAUACAUCCGAUGAUCCCGAUUUUGAAGCUAUUAGGGCUCGGAAAUUAAUCAUAAGAAGUGAACCACUGAGGUCCAAAAAUAUAACAGCACCGAAUGCAGCAAAUACAGUACAGAAUUCUCAAAACUCAAGUGCUCUGCCAAAAACAUCGAAUAAGGAUACUGAUAUCUCUCAAUCGGAAUAUGAAGAAUGGAAUAGAAAACGUCAAGCAAACAAAAACAAGCAAAAAGAAUCAAAUGCAGGUACUCAAGAAAACUCAUCAAAACAAUCGGAAUUCACAAAACGCCGCCGUAUAUACGAAGACCAGCUCUCUAAAUGGGCCGGGGAAAAACGGACGUUGAUUGAACUGCAGAAGAAGUCGUUCCAAGAGAAACAUUGUUUAGAAUUACAACAGAAAAAAGAUAAACAUGAACGUAUACUUUCCAAAGAGGAAGAGGAGAUUGAGCUCAGGAUCAGGUUGAUGCUCGAUGAGCAUCACCUGAAAAUGAAAAUACUGCAAAAGCAGCUGGAUAAAGAUGGCAGUUGGCAGCGAAUGUUAAUUAUUCUCAUUAUGAAUGGAUGUGUUUUUACUGUUCUGGCAGCAAGUGUUAAUUAUUUUUAUUUUUAAUCAAUGUAUUUUUACUGCUGUGGCAGGUGGCAGCGAAUGUUAAUUAUUUUCAUCGUGAAUGGAUGUGUUUUUACUGUUCUGGCAGUAAGUGUUAAUUAUUUUUAUUUUUAAUCAAUGUGUUUUUACUGCUGUGGAAGGUGGAAGCAAUUCUUAAUUACUUUUAUUAUGAAUCGAUGUGUUUUUACUGCUGUGGCAGCAAGUGUGUUUUUAUUUUUAAUUGAUGUCUCCUUGCUGUGGCAACAAGAGUGUUAAUUAUUUUUAUUUUCAAUUGAUGUGAUUUCACUGCUGCGGCAGCACGAUUGUGUUCGUUGUUUCAUUUUUAAUUAUUAAUUUGAGUCAUUUGAGAAGUAUUGGUCUCAUUUUUUUUCUAGAAAUAAAUGCGUUUUUUGUUCAUAUUUCUCAAGUUGGUCAAGUUUUUCUAUUACUAACGUAGAUGGGUGAAAUUAUUUUGAAAAAUUAGAACACUCUGAAACAGUUCAUUCUAUAAGAAGAUGGUUUGCAAUGCCGGAAAAGAGAUUAAAAAACAAAUAAAAAAAGAACUUUGAUUCAAGUUUUGCAACAUGAUUUUUCAUUUUUCUCUUCCUUUUAUCAACAUACAACUGAAAAUCUUAUUAUUAUUUAUUACUAAUAUUUCAUGGGGAAAUGCAUUGAAUAGAACUUGUAGAACUUCGUUUUUUUUAUUGAAUUCGUAUUACAUACUCCGUUUCAAAAUUAUUUCAUAAACAAUAAAGAAUUUUAUUUUUAAUUAUAGUGCAUCGAAGUAAUUGAUUAAGGUAUCUCUUUGGAUCUGAUUUACAUUAAUUGGUGGCACAGCAAAUUCUUCGGCAUCAAACUCCGUUAAAUCCACCAACCUUUCAAUCCCACGCUCCACUGCAGGCAUUGCAUCACCGAAAAAUCUUGCAAUGUUAUGCAAUACAGCAGUAGCUGUAACCACCAUUUCAACAGAGGUCACUUCUAAAUUGAUACCCACCGCUAAAAUCGGAAAACGUCGUUUCCAUACCCCAAAAGUGCGUUCUAUGGGGUUUCUGGUUCGAAUUUGUGCGAAAUUGAAUUUUUUUUCAGCGGCAGUGAUGGGAUUUCGAAGUGGAGUAAUGAGGUAAUUCCGAACACCAUAUCCUCCAUCACCCACCAACAAGUCAUUUCCGAAUUCUCCAUCUUCAAAUUUAUACUUUAUAGAUGAAUUAUUAAAUAUUGUAGAAUCAUGUGAACUACCAGGCCAUCGACAGACAACGUUUAGAAAUCGCAGGUUAGAAUCGCAUACAGCUUGAACGUUAUAUGAAAAGAAACGUUUUCUGUUGCGAAAAAUUUCAGCAUCCUGGCCACCAGGAGAUAGUAUUUUUACGUGAGUGCAGUCGACUGCGCCAAUACACCGAGGGAACUGUGCAAUAUUGAAAAAUCCUUGCCGUAUUUCACUUAGUUCUUCUUCAGAGGUUGGGUACUCGAUAAAUUCUGGUCUCAGACGCGCCAAAUAGUAGGAGACGAGUCGGAUAACGCGGCUGGCAGUAGACUCGUGUACGCCAACAAAAUCUGCAGCUACUUUUAUCAUUGAGCCUGUAGCGUAAUAUCGUAGCGUUAACAGUACUUUUUCGCGUGCAGUGAGUGCAUUAUUUCUGAAAAAUGCAUCAUAAUUAUUAUUAAAGUACCCCACUUAUGAGAAGUAAGUGAAGGUAGCCGUUUGUGAGCAAGUUUUUCUUUGGGUACGGUGGAUGUGCCAUUUUUGAGUGCUAGCAUGGGCAUAUCAGUAAUCAUCAAAGUAAACAUCCUGAGCAUCGUGAAUAGUGAACUAAACACAUGCAUGUUUCUGUGUAAAAGUAUUAUAAAGUGCCAAAAGUAAUGAUCAUUUCUCCGCUGCUGUAACCUUUUUUGCAUUUUAUUGUUCUUAAUUUUAAUUCUUCAACGCAAAUAAUCAUAUCAGGCCAUGAAUUGUGAUUACAUUAGAAGGCUGCAAACCCAAUUGAAAAGUUGAUCGCCAAAGUUAUGCGUAGAUGCUGCAGCUGUACUGAUAAUUUCUAGUAAGUAUCAUUUUUAUAAUUAGUAAUUAUUCACUAAUCACUUCAAAUAAACAGAUAUUCCGAAAGAUUAUUUCUAUUACACUGUGUCAGGUGAGCAAACUGGAAUACGGAAGCCAAAGUUGAGUUUCAUCUGUUCUUUGAGAAUCAAAAUAUAUUUUAAACGUGCAACAUGUCACAUUUGAUUGAUAUUGCAUAGCAGUAUUACUCGUACAAACAUCAGAAAGAUCUGUCUGAAGAAACUGCAAACUGGAAUCAUGUGUUUUGCUGUGAAGAGUACAAUGCCGGAGCUUUCAGAGCUCAAAUAAUAUGCAUAAUAUUGAACUAUUGAAAGUGAUCGUACAAAUUACUGAAAUUGCCCAGCGGAGAUGAUGAAAAAUUUAAUAAACAUUGGAAGUGAUGAAGUGAAUUUUGUGUGUCAUUUUUUAAUGAAAAAUAAUCGGAACUGCGGUGUUCUGUUGAUGGAGUACCUUUUAUAAUAGGGAGUAGAGGAAUCCUGGCACUGCGUAAUGGAAAUAAUUAUUAUUGCUUGCUGGAUGAAUGGCGAAUCAGGUUUCCGGCAUGGCUCAAAGUACACAAAAAAAUCCUCAUAUAAGGUUACAUUUGAAUGGUAUAUUUGUUGUAUGUAAUUUACCUGGUAGUUCGUGAACUGAUUUUAGAUUUUAGUUUUUCAACUAAAUACAUAACGGUUGAUUUCGAGAGACGAAAUCGAUCUAAAAAUUCUUGUUCAUUCCAUUCUACAAAAUGAUCUAUUCGAUGUCUAAAUUUUUUUUUUCGGCGCGGAAACGCAAUCUUGUAAACCAACUCUUGAAAAUCUUCGUCUGAUGUAAGAUUUUCAUCAUCAUCUGAGUACAUCGACAUUAGAGAUUUUUUAUUUAUUACUUAAAACUCAAAAAUUAAUAAUCAAUAAUCGCCAUGCACGUUGAUAACAGCGUAUGUUUACGAAGUUUAUCAGUGUUGGGUUCUGAAGUUCAGUUAACUGUAGUUUAACCGGCCGAAAUUGGCGAGUUAAAUUUAACUACAGUUCAAGAGUUGAACGAGAUUGGUACAACACACUUUUCCUACUGAACUUGGUUCAACUCUUGACUGUAGUUUAACUGUUUGUGGUACAAGUGGCCCUAGGUUUGUUCGUUUUUAACCAGGUUUCUUACCCGGGUAAGGUUAAAUCCAGAGACCUGUUAUAGGUCUUUGGUUAAAUCAGGGGUAAAAAGUGGAGAGCGGAGUAAGGAGAGUAAGGAAAGUGUAGACCCGGUUAGACCGAGUAAUAAAAACGAACAAACCUACUGUCGCAGGUACUGAGGGUCUAAAAUAUUCAUGAUGAUUCUUCAAGAUUUACCUUGAUCUGCUAUUUUUGAACCUGUACCACUUCCGUCGUGUUCCAUUUUUAAAUUUACUCAGCGAUCACCAUGGUUCGAGG